GAACCAAUCAGAUAUUAGCUCUCUUGCCGGACUGACGUCAUUGUUAAAGCGAAAAGAACCGCUACUUGGCUGCCGAAACUAUACAACUGCAAGCCAGGGGGAUAGAAGACAUGGCUGAAUACCAGCGUAGUCUUGACUAAAGCCCAAGGCGGUAUAGUCCCCUGUCCACCGUUAUCGGCCAUCGUUCUCAGCAACUUAACUAAGGAUCUAAAUACCAGCACUAACCAGCUAGAAAGACACUGGGGGGGCGUUUCUCUGCCCGUCUGUGCAGAUUCGGAUGGGGAGGAUCUCCAACUGUGGGGAGUGAUCAGUGUCACAAAGCCAGUGUGGGCGUGCACUGUGGGGUAGCAACAGUAGGAUGAGCUGCCCCCGAGGUAUGACAGUCUGCGAGGACUGACACACACAGCUACAAAUACGGCAGUCGAUGCAGUCUUCCAGAGGCUCUCCCUCCCUGUGGCUGAGAAACCCCC